CCUACGGGUGGCAGCAGUGGGGAAUAUUGCACAAUGGGGGAAACCCUGAUGCAGCGACGCCGCGUGAAGGAAGAAGUCUUUCGGUAUGUAAACUUCUUUCAGCAGGGAAGAAAAUGACGGUACCUGACUAAGUAGCCCCGGCUAACUACGUGCCAGCAGCCGCGGUAAUACGUCGGGUGCAAGCGUUAUCCGGAUUUACUGGGUGUAAAGGGAGCGUAGGCGGUGUAGCAAGUCAGAGGUGAAAGCCCGGGGCUCAACUUCGGGACUGCUUUUGAAACUGUUGAACUAGAUAGCAGGCGUGGUAAGUGGAAUGCAUAGUGUAGCAGUGAAAUGCGUAGAGAUCAGGAAGAACACCGGUGGCGAAGGCAGCUUACUGGACUGCAAAUGACGCUGAGGCACGAAAGCGUGGGGAGCAAACAGGAUUAGAUACCCUUGUAGUC
rnacentral:rRNA from 1 species